rnacentral:rRNA from 1 species
UACGGAGGGGGCUAGCGUUGUUCGGAAUUACUGGGCGUAAAGAGCGCGUAGGCGGUUUGCCAAGUCAGGUGUGAAAGCCCAGGGCUUAACCCUGGAACUGCACUUGAAACUGGCAAACUAGAGAGUGGUAGAGGAUAGUGGAAUUCCCAGUGUAGAGGUGAAAUUCGUAGAUAUUGGGAGGAACACCAGUGGCGAAGGCGGCUCACUGGCUCGUAUCUGACGCUCAGGCGCGACAGCGUGGGGAUCAAACAGG